rnacentral:rRNA from 1 species
AUAAUUAUUUUAUAACAGGAAUAAUAAAUAUUAUUUAAAUAAAGAUUUACAUUAGUACAGAUUAUUUUUGAUAUUUAAAAUAUUUUAUUGUACUAGUUUAUGUUUUAUCCUAGCUAUGAGUGAACGCUAGUAAUCUACUUUACACAUGCAAGUUUAGAUAUAUUUAGCAUUUAAAUAUAUAAGCGAAACGGUGAGUAAAAUAUAGAUAAUAUGAUUAAUAUAAUUUUUAGUUUUGCUAUUCUAGUCUUGUACUAGGGUUGUGGCGUUUAUAUAAUUUUAUUAUAUAAAGAAUUUAUUAUUAUGGUUUAUAAAGAUUUAGGUAGUUGGUAAUUUAAUAGCUUACCAAGCCGAUAAUUCUUAGUUGGUCUGGGAGGACGUACAACCACAUUGGGGAUGAAAAAAGACCCAGGUUCUAUUUAGAGGCUGCAGUGAGGAAUCUUGAACAAUGAGCUUAAGCUUGAUUCAGUGAGAUUAUAUGAAUGAUGACGCAACUUCGAUUUGUGUAAAAUUCUUUAGUAAACGAAAAUAAUGACAUUAUGUUUAUAAAACUAGCAUCGACUAACCUCGUGCCAGCAGUCGCGGUGAUACGGGGGAUGCGGGUGUUACUCAGCAUUAUUGGGCGUAAAGUGUAUCAAGGUGGUUUUAUUAAUUUUAUUUUAAAUGUUAUAGUAAGGACUAUUAUUGGGUAUUUUAUUAUAAAACUAAGGGUAUAAAUCAAGUUUACAGUAUUUGUAAAGUAAAGGUGAAAUUUUAUUAUAAUACAAAGACUUGCAAUAGACGAAGGUUGUGAACUAGAUUAUACUGACGCUUUAUUACGAAGGCAUAGGUAGCGAAAAGGAUUAGAUACCCUAUUAGUCUAUGCUGUCAACAAUGGAUGUUGUCUUUGAUGUUUUUUGGGGACAAGUUAACGCGUAAGCAUCCCGCCUGGGGAGUAUGAUCGCAAGAUUCGAACUCAAAGGAAGUGGCUGAGUUACGGUACUAACGGUGGAACAUGUGGUUUAAUCUGAUACAACGCAUCAAAUCUUACCAAUUUUAGUAUAAAAUUAUAGUAAUUCUAAUUUUUUAAAAAUUAAUAAAAUUAAUCACCCUUUUCUUGUUAAUUAGGUCUGAUAAAAAUUUUAUGCAGGAGUUGCAUGGCUGUCGUCAGUUCGUGUUGUGAAAUGUAUGGUUUAGUCCUAUAACGAACGUAAUCCUUAUAUUAUACGCAUCUGCUUUUAAUAUUCUAACCAACAAGGAAGUUUUUGAAAUUAGGAGGACGUCAAGUAGGCAUGACCCUUAUAAGUUGGGCAACACACGUGUUACAAAAGUAAUAACAAAAAUUAAGCGUAUUGAAAAAUACGUUAAAUAACAAAAAUUACUUUAGUUCGGAUUAUUUUUUGAAAUUUAGAAAUAUGAAGUUGAAAUCGUCAGUAAUCGAAAAUCAGAAUGUUUCGGUGAAAUGGGAUCUGUAACUAGUACACACCGCCCGUCACGCCAAGAAAGUUAUUUAUAUUGGAAAAAUUAAUACUUUUCAUUUAAUUUAAUAUGUUAGGUAUAAUAAUUAAAUUUUCAAUUAUUAUAAGCUUAUUAAAAAUAUUUAAUAAGUGCUAAUUUGAAUGUAUAUUUAAUAAUUAGGGUGAAGUCGUAACAUGGUAGUGGUAGGGGAACCUGCUGCUGGAUCGAAUAAAGUUUUUAUUUAGUUCUAAGUUCGCGGGGCGUCGUCUAACUGGUUAG